CUUAUAGGGCGCAGAGGCCACGCCCCCGAGGCCCCGCCCCCGACCCUGCCGCCCGACCGCGGAGAGGCAGCAGCCGCAGCCCCCAGCCCAGCCCCCGGGGGGCGGGACGCACGUCCCUUCCCCCCUCGCUCACACACAUCGGGGUGUCAGACCUGGUGCAGUCAGGACCCCGGGGCCUGGGCACAGAGUGCCAGGCGCGGCACGCGUCCCUGGGCUGCAGGCGCGCUCGGAUUCCCCUAAGGGGCCGCGCCGGAGGACAGGCCUGCAGGCGGGGAAAACUGCUUCCCCUCCUCCCUCAGGCGCCUGGGACUAUGGUAGCAGGCCCCGCGGAGGAGGUGAUGCACGGGCGCCAGCUCUGGCGAGAUAGCAGCGCGCUUGGUUCACAGCGCUCCCGGGAUAGGAACCCGGGUGGCGGUUGAUGCGGCCCUGGCCUGAAGGUCCCGGAAGGCGAGCCUAGGCCGCCAAGCCCUUGUCCCGUGGAAGGGGGAGUCCCUGAGGGCUGUUGGAAGAGUCUGUGCUGGAAAGGUCACAGACAGGGUGUCCCCCAGGCCAGGGUUGUGUCCAAGAGGCCCAAGCCGCUUAUGGAACCUCCAGGUGCUGUGUAUUUCAGGCACAGCCUGGUGGCGCCAGUACCGCAGGGGGCCGGCCCCACACUCCUGCUAAGGAGGCAGAGGGCUAAGGAGGCAGAGAGGCGAGUCAUCAAGCAUUCUCCCCAGGUGACAGCAAGGUGACGUGCAGCUGGAGAGAUGAGAGCUCUGCGUCUGCGGUAACCCUGGCACGAGUGACUACUGACCACUUGCAAGGUGGCCAGUGCUACCGCUGGGGACUGAAGUUUUCAUUUUGCUCACUGUACAGUGGUUUGAAUUUCAGUAGCAGUGGGCGGCCGGAGCAGGGCGGUCGUACUCAUCGGGACUCUGGUAGUUUUGUAGUUUCCUUGGUGACUUAUUGUAAAGUUUGUUUUGGCUUCACGCGUAUGUAAGAGCCACAGGCACAACUGUGGGGUUUGUGGGUGUCGAAGGGACGUUACAACAGAGGUACCAACUUUGGGGGUCUGCCAGAUUCUUUCUGUCGAAGAGGAGGCAGAACAGGUCUUCAGUGUGAAGAAUCGCUUGUCUAGGUGCCCUGGGCACCCUGCCCUCCCAUCAGCUCCCUGCUGCCCACAGUGAUAGGGACAUUUCCUGCCAAAGGUGUGGGCUGUCCCUUCCCUGGGCCCUCUGGGGAAGGGGGGGGCAGAGAGCCCCCCCUCAGGGAGUGGCAAAACCACGCACCUGCGUCCUCGGCCCGCCAUCCCCCAAAGUGGGUCGCGCCUGGCCGGCUUGUUCUGUUCUCUCUGCUUCAGUCCUGCAUUUAGUGGGUGCCAGCCGUGUGCCAGGCCUAUUCCAGGCGCUCGCUGUGAGGAGCUGGACAGCCAGGACCCCUUCGCUUGAGGACCUUCGGCCCUGGUGAGGGUGACAGAUGUCACCCCACGAUGAUCAUGUCAGUGCUGCAAAGGGGGGGGAGUUCUGAGGAUGUGUGACAGGUGGGGGUGGCACUCCUCCCCGUGGGUCCUGGAAGGAAUCAGCCAUGGAGCCAACCCUGAGGGGUGCUGGGGGGAGCUUUCCAGGCAGAGGGGUAGCUUGGAGGAGUGGAAAGGAAGCUGGUGGGGUGGGCGCAGAGGAUGUGGGAAGGGCUGGACUUGAGGUCUGAGGUUGGGGCCAGCGGUGAGGUCAGGGGCCAGGUGGGCUGGCUCUUGGGCCUGAAGGUCAGAGUGGAGCUGCACUGGAUUCUGGCCCCAGUGGGAGUGACUGGGGGUAUUCCACAGGGGAGCCUCAGGCCUUGCCCCUGUGAGGUAGCUCGCGUGGUUAUGGGGGCUGGGAAUGACCUGCCGUCUGCACACUGGCGGCCCAGGAAGGCCAGUUGGGUGAUGUCGUCCAGUCUGAGUCUGGAGGCCUGAGAGCCAGGGGAGCGGAUGGUGUAAACCCCAGUCUAAGGGCAGGAGGAGGUGACAGGAGCUGUCCCAGCUCAAGGGGUGGGGCCAGAAAAGGGCACGUUCUCCCUCCCCUGCCUUGUGUUCUGUUCAGGCCUCGGGGACCAGAUGGUGCCCUCCCACCUGCUCUCCUGCGUCCGCGAUUCAAUGCUGAUCUCACCUGGAAACACCCCCCCAGACUCCCCCAGAAGUAAUGUCCCGCCUGGGCGCCUGGGCCCGGUCAUGUUGACACAACAGUACGUAUCCCAGGGAGCGGUGACAUGAUGUGUGUGCCAGUGUGAUCGGGGGCAGGGGGCGCCCCGCGGGGAUGUCCUGGGGAAGGCUCCCGGUGUUGGCUGGACUGCAACACUUUCCAUCCCAGCUCCAGGACGCAUGGACAAGCUCCCAGAGGGGCUGCGUUAGAGAAUGAGGGAGGCGAGGCAGAGCUUGCUAUGCCUGGGAUGGGACACCCCGUCCCUGUGCUUCCCUUGCCCUGCAGCCCUGGCUGCCCUAGGAAGGGGAGCUGAUGGGGAUACAGCCGGCAGCUCGGCAGGACCAGCAGGCUUUGCUGCCCAGCUGGGUUUGGCCUGAGUCUUCCCCUCCCAGUGACUUCGGGCUGGUUCCACCGUGUCCCUGCCUGCAACGGAACAUGACCACAGGCCCAGGCACGUGAGCAAGGCCUGGCCCAUGGGAGGCAGGAGGCCAGGGCCUCCUUGCAGCUUGUCUGGUGGAGAAGCUUCUCUGCCCAUAGCUGGUGACUCACUGCUCUCCUGGGGCACAUGGUCUGUCGGGGGGGAGCCGGUGAAUCACUGAACCCCGCCUCUUUGCCUUCGUUUCCUGUGGAAAUAAACAAAGACCACCUAAAUGAGACAAACCGGCUGUAUCUGCAGAGCCUGCUACGUACAAGGGAAUCAGCCGCCCUCGCUGCAUUUGGCAGGGACUCGAAGGCCGCCCCCAAGGGAGACAGGUUUAUGUUGGGAAAAAAACAAAAAAAAGGAGGAGUUUAACAUCUGAAAAAUGUACUACACCAUAUCAAUAGAAUAAAGGACAGAAAUUACGUGAUCAUCUCAACGGAUGUAGGAAGAGCAUCUAACAAAACCCAACAUUCGGGCUUCCCUGGUGGCGCAGUGGUUGAGAGUCCGCCUGCCAAUGCAGGGGACACGGGUUCGUGCCCCGGUCCGGGAGGAUCCCACAUGCUGCAGAGCGGCUGGGCCUGUGAGCCAUGGCCGCUGGGCCUGCGCGUCCGGAGCCUGUGCUCCGCAACGGGAGAGGCCACAGCAGUGAGAGGCCCGUACCACAAAAACAAACAAACAAACAAACAAACAAAAACAAACCCAAUAUUCUUUCAUGGUGAAAACACUUAGCACACUCAAAAUAGAAGGGAAUGUCCUCCAUCCAAUAAGGGGCGUCUACAAAUACCCACAGCUGACCUCACACCUAGUGAUAAAAGUCUGAGAGCGUCCCGCCUAAGGUCAGGAACGAGACAAGGACCCCACAUCCUGCCACUAUCUUUGUGUUGAUUUCUGCUGUACAGCAAAGUGACUCAGUUAUACAUAUAUAUUCUUUUUCAUAUUCUUUCCCACUAUGGUUUAUCACAGGAUAUUGAAUAUAGUUCCCUGUGCUAUACAGUAGGACCUUGUUUUUUGUCCAUUCUAUAUAUAAUAGUUUGCAUGUGUAAUCCCAAACUCCUGACUUCCCUGGUGGUCCAGUGGGUAAGACUCCGUGCUCCCAAUACAGGGGGCCCGGGUUCGAUUCCUGGUGGGGAAACUAGAUCCCGCAUGCAUGCCGCAACUAAGAAGUCUGCAUGCUGCAACUGAAGAUCCCACAUGCCACAACUAAGACUUGGUGCAGCCAAAAUAAAUAAAUAAAUAAAUAAAUAAAUAAAAUCCCAAACUCCCAAUCCAUCCCUCCCCCACUCUACCUCCCCCUUGGCAACCAUAAGUCUAGUCUGUUCUCUGUGUCCUUGAGUCUGUUUCUGUUUCAUAGAUAAGUUCAUUUGUGUCAUAUUUUAGAUUCCACAUAUAAGUGCUAUCAUAUGCUAUUUGUCUUUCUCUUUCUGACUUACUUCACUCAGUAUGAUCAUCUCUCGGUCCAUCCAUGUUGCUGCAUACUCCUGCCACUUCUAUUCAACAUUGUCCCGGAGGUUCUGGCCAGAGCAUUGAGGCAAGAAGAAGGAGUAUAAAGGCACCCAUAUUAGAAAUGAAGUAUUGAACUACCUCUAUUUGCAGAUGACAUGAUGUUGUGUAUGGAAGAUCCUAAGAGAGCCACACACACAAAAUUAAAGCUAAUAAGUGUGUUCAACAAUUGGCAGAAUACAAGAUCAAUAUACAAAAAUCAAUUUUAUUUCUAUACCUAGCAAUGAGCAAUCCAAACGUGGAAUUAUGAUGACAAUCCCACGUGUAACAGCAGCAAAUGAACAAAAUACCUAGGAAUACAUGGAGCGAAAGAAGCGUAAGACUUGUACACUGAAAACUACAAAGCGUUGUCAGAAGGAAUUAAAGAACAUCUAACUAAGUGAAAAGAUAACUGGUAUUCAUGGAUCAGAAGACCUAAUAUGUUUAUGGUGCCAAUACUCCCCCAAACUGAUCUAAAGCUUCGACGAAACCCCUAUCAAAAUCCCAGCUGGCUUUUUACAAUCUGAUCCUAAAAUUCAUAUGGGAAUGCAAGGGCCCCAGAAUAGCCAGAAGAAACUGGAAAAAUAAGAGGAAAGUUGUUGGAUUCACACUUCCCCAUUCAAACUUACUGCAAAACUACAGAGAUCAAGGCAGUGUGGCACUGGCAUUAAGGACAGACGAACAGAUCAGUGGACUAGAAUUGAGAGUCCAGAAAUAAACCCUCACAUUCAUGGUGGCUUGCCACAAGGACACCGAGACAAUUCGAUGAGGAAAAGAACAGUCUUUUCAACAACUGGUGCUGGGGCAGCUGGAUAUCCACAGACGAAAGAAUGACGUUGGGGCCCUACCUCACCCUGUACACAAACGUUAACUCAAAAUGGAUCAUGGACCUCAAUGUAAGAGCUGAAACUAUAAAACUCUUAGAGAAAGACAUAAACCUUCGUGACCUUGUGUUAGACAAUGGUUUCUUAUAUACAACUCCCAGAGCACAAGCGAAAUAAGAAAAAAAUAAGUAGGGAACUCCCUGGUGGUCCAGUGGUUAGGACUCGGUGCUUUCACUGCAGUGGCCCAAGUUCAAUCCCUGGUCAGGGAACUAAGAGAUCCCACAAGCCACACAGCUCAGCCAAAAAAAAAAAAAAGAAAGAAAGAAAGAAAAAGGAAAAAAUAGGUAAA